rnacentral:rRNA from 1 species
UACAGAGGGGGGCGAGCGUUUGUUCGGAAUUACUGGGCGUAAAGGGCGCGUAGGCGGAUCGAUCAGUCAGGGGGUGAAAUCCCAGGGCUCAACCCUGGAACUGCCUUUGAUACUGUCGAUCUGGAGUAUGGAAGAGGUGGGUGGAAUUCCGAGUGUAGAGGUGAAAUUCGUAGAUAUUCGGAGGAACACCAGUGGCGAAGGCGGCUCACUGGUCCAUUACUGACGCUGAGGUGCGAAAGCGUGGGGAGCAAACAGG